CAGUUCGGAUUGUAGUCUGCAACUCGACUACAUGAAGCUGGAAUCGCUAGUAAUCGCAGAUCAGAAUGCUGCGGUGAAUACGUUCCCGGGUCUUGUACACACCGCCCGUCACACCAUGGGAGUCGGAAAUGCCCGAAGCCGGUGACCCAACCAAAAGGAGGGAGCCGUCGAAGGCAGGUCUGAUAACUGGGGUGAAGUCGUAACAAGGUAAC
rnacentral:rRNA from 1 species